rnacentral:rRNA from 1 species
CAGCCGCCGCGGGAAUACGUAGGUGGCAAGCGUUGUCCGGAAUUAUUGGGCGUAAAGGGCUCGCAGGCGGUUUCUUAAGUCUGAUGUGAAAGCCCCCGGCUCAACCGGGGAGGGUCAUUGGAAACUGGGAAACUUGAGUGCAGAAGAGGAGAGUGGAAUUCCACGUGUAGCGGUGAAAUGCGUAGAGAUGUGGAGGAACACCAGUGGCGAAGGCGAUUCUCUGGUCUGUAACUGACGCUGAGGAGCGAAAGCGUGGGGAGCGAACAGGAUUAGAUACCCCAGUAGUCCCUGUCUCUUAUAC